GACGGACGCUGGCGGUGUGCUUAACACAUGCAAGUGGAGCGACGAACCAGGCUUCGGCCUGGGGCAGAGCCGCGAACGGGUGAGUAACACGUGGGUAACGUGCCCCGAUGACCGGGACAACCCGGGGAAACCCGGGCUAAUACCGGAUGUGCUGUCCCAACACCAGUUGGGAUUGGAAAGGAAGCUUCGGCCUCCGCAUCGGGAUCGGCCCGCGGCCCAUUAGCUUGUUGGUGAGGUAAAGGCUCACCAAGGCCGCGAUGGGUAGCUGGUCUGAGAGGACGAUCAGCCACACUGGGACUGAGACACGGCCCAGACUCCUACGGGAGGCAGCAGUGGGGAAUCUUGCGCAAUGCGCGAAAGCGUGACGCAGCAACGCCGCGUGGGGGAAGAAGGCCUUCGGGUUGUAAACCUCUUUCAGGAGGGACGAAGCCACUCGGGUUAAUAGCCCAGAGGGUGACGGUACCUCCAGAAGAAGCCCCGGCUAACUACGUGCCAGCCGCCGCAGUAAGAC
rnacentral:rRNA from 1 species